rnacentral:rRNA from 1 species
UACGUAGGGUGCGAGCGUUGUCCGGAUUCAUUGGGCGUAAAGGGCGCGUAGGCGGCGGGGUAAGUCGGGUGUGAAAUCUCAGGGCUCAACCCUGAAACUGCACUCGAUACUGCUCUGCUUGAGGACUGGAGAGGAGACUGGAAUUCACGGUGUAGCAGUGAAAUGACGUAGAUAUCGUGAGGAAGACCAGUGGCGAAGGCGGGUCUCUGGACAGUUCCGUGACACUGAGACACGAAGGCCAGGGAGACAAACCGGGGAUUAGAAAACCC